rnacentral:lncRNA from 1 species
GUUCCCCUCGCCGUCCCCAGAUGGAGCUUUUAUCGGCGUGUGUCGGCAGCGGCGGCGGCCCACACCUUACCAAGAGAGAGAGGAGGAGAGAAGGAGAGGAAGAUAGAGAGGCAGACAGAGACGUUAUCCUAGAUUAAUUCCUCCGUGAUCUUUGGCCGCUCCAGCAGCAUAGAACGUCCCACGACCAAGCUGGCGACUGUUUUACGAGACCGGGCGGGACCCUAGGCAGGCCAGGGCUCGCGGGGGACCGGGCGAGGGAGGCAGGACACGUGGGCAGACUGAGGGAGGCGGCGGCGAAGGAAGGAGCAGCCGGGGGCCGGCGUGUGUUCGCUGUGAGCUGUGGUCCUUCUGUCUCUAGGGACUACCAGCGCCGCGUCCCUCAUUCCACAAACACGUGACGUGGCGGUCUUCCUCCUCCUCCUUCCUCCCGUGCCUCCCAACCGAGAGACACUGACAAAGAUGAAGGACAGCGUCAGAAACAUGGAUACUGUGUAAGGACGACAAGAAAGCCAUCAAGCCCGGUGAUGUACGGAAGAAAAGGAAAGAAAAAUACAAUAUGAGUAGCCACUGCGGGGACAUCAAGGAGGACCCAACAGCUCACUCUCUCUCUCUCUCUCUCUCUCUCUCUCUCUCUGACUGCCAGAAAGAUGAUGGAGAAGAAACGCAAGAAAGGCAGGUUUAAUAAUUAUGUCAAUUAGCUUCGUCCUUUGUCUGUUGAGGAGGAGGAAGAAGAAGAGGAGGAGGAAAAGGUGGUUGCAGGAAGAGAGCAAGAAAAUAAUAUAGAAAAAAGUCUUGAUGAUUAUGAUAAUGACGGCGACGAGAAGGAGGACAAAAAAAAAAGAAGGAAAAGAUAAAAAAAAUAAUGACAACAAUAGCAGCAAAGAAGACGAGUACAAAAUGAUUGAGGAUUAUGAAUAAUGAGAGAAUAAGUAAGUAAGUAAAGAAUAAAAGCUCC